AUGGUAUUCGGCGAUUUUAACGAGAUCCUUUAUGCUCAUGAGAAGGAGGGGGGAGCGGCUCGGGAGCAGCGACAGAUGCAGGGGUUUAGAGACGCUCUGGCUGACUGCGAUCUCGAUGAUAUGGGAGCCUCAGGAGAUAGUUUUACGUGGAGUAGAGGGCGGAUUAAGGAGAGGCUGGACAGAGCGGUCUGUAAUUCUAGGUGGAAUGAUAUCUAUCCACAUGCAGGAGUAGUGAAUGGGGAGAUGACGAAGUCUGAUCAUCGUCCGUUGGUGGUGGAUACAGAAUAUUAU
rnacentral:rRNA from 1 species